rnacentral:rRNA from 1 species
CCUACGGGAGGCAGCAGUAGGGAAUCUUCCACAAUGGGCGAAAGCCUGAUGGAGCAACGCCGCGUGGGUGAAGAAGGUCUUCUGAUCGUAAAACCCUGUUGUUAGAGAAGAAAGUGCGUGAGAGUAACUGUUCACGUUUCGACGGUAUCUAACCAGCAAUCCACAGCUAACUACGUGCCAGCAGCCGAUUUAAUACGUAGGUGGCAAGCGUUAUCCGGAGUUAUUGGGCGUAAAGGGAACGCAGGCGGUCUUUUAAGUUGUAUGUGAAAGCCUUCGGCUUAACCGGAGUAGUGCAUUGGAAACUGGGAGACGUGAGUGCAGAAGAGGAGAGUGGAACUCAAUGUGUAGCGGUGAAAUGCGUAGAUAUAUGGAAGAACACCAGUGGCGAAAGCGGCUCUCUGGUCUGUAACUGACGCUGAGGUUCGAAAGCGUGGGUAGCAAACAGGAGUAGAUACCCUGGUAGUC